UUGGGAAGGAGGCAUUAGGGCUCUGGCAUGGUCCUAGAGUCUGCCCACCUCCUUCCCAAAGCCUAGUUAGCACUUUCCUAGCUUUGGGAAGGAGAUGGGAGGGCUCUAGGACCUGCCAGAGCCUUGUGCCUCCUUCUCAAU